UAUCUCCAUUAACUCCUGAUGCUCUCGCAUUGGUGUCAUAUAUGGGUGAAAGGCAACAUGCAGAAGCACAAGAAGGCCAAAUGGAAGAUGAUAAUGGACAUGAAAAUCAGAUGCAAAAGAUGAUGAUGUUAGGAUGAAGAACAAAGAGCAAACGAACAUGUCAUUUUUUGAGGCAUGGAGUUGUUGGAGCGAGACCCUGCACUGUGUCCACAAGUUUUGCAGUACCCCCCAAACGAGAGAGAUGAAGUACAAAAAUCUUACUUGAGGUUGGUCCUAAUAGACCUAAACGAAAGAAAUAUAAAGCUUUGGAAAACCAAG
rnacentral:lncRNA from 1 species